rnacentral:rRNA from 1 species
GAACGCUGGCGGCAUGCCUAACACAUGCAAGUCGAACGGCAGCACAGAGGAGCUUGCUCCUUGGGUGGCGAGUGGCGGACGGGUGAGUAAUGCAUCGGGAUCUACCCAGACGUGGGGGAUAACCUCGGGAAACCGGGACUAAUACCGCAUACGUCCUACGGGAGAAAGCGGGGGACCUUUUAGGCCUCGCGCGGCUGGACGAACCGAUGUGCGAUUAGCUAGUUGGUGGGGUAAUGGCCUACCAAGGCGACGAUCGCUAGCUGGUCUGAGAGGAUGAUCAGCCACACUGGGACUGAGACACGGCCCAGACUCCUACGGGAGGCAGCAGUGGGGAAUAUUGGACAAUGGGCGCAAGCCUGAUCCAGCAAUGCCGCGUGUGUGAAGAAGGCCUUCGGGUUGUAAAGCACUUUUAUCAGGAACGAAAUCUGCAUGCUUAAUACGUGUGCAGUCUGACGGUACCUGAGGAAUAAGCACCGGCUAACUUCGUG